UGAAUACGAGACGCUAAGGCGUCGAAGUAGUGUAUGUCAUACUUCCAAGAAAAGCUUGCACUGUCAUAGAUAAAAAACGCCUGUACCAUAACCGACACAGGUGGGUAGGUAGAGUAUACUAAGGGGCGCGAGAUAACUCUCCCUAAGGAACUCGGCAAAAUAACUCCGUAACUUCGGGAGAAGGAGUGCCUUAUUCGUAAGGUUGCAAUAACAAGAUCCAAGCAACUGUUUAUCAAAAACACAGGUCUCCGCUAUGUCGUAAGACGAUGUAUGGGGGCUGACGCCUGCCCAGUGCCAGAAGGUUAAAGAAGUUGGUUAGCAAUUGCGAAGCUGAUAACUGAAGCCCUGGUGAACGGCGGCCGUAACUAUAACGGUCCUAAGGUAGCGAAAUUCCUUGUCGGGUAAGUUCCGACCCGCACGAAAGGCGUAAUGAUUUGGAUACUGUCUCGGAGAGGGGCUCGGUGAAAUAGACUUGUCUGUGAAGAUGCGGACUACCUGCACCAGGACAGAAAGACCCUAUGAAGCUUUACUGUAACUUGAAAUUGAAAUUGGACUUUAUUCGCGCAGUAUAGGUGGGAGGCGUUGAUUAUAAUCUUGUGGGAUUAUUGGAGCCAUCAGUGAGAUACCACUCUUGUAAUGUUAGAUUUCUAACUUUGAAUCAUUAUCUGGUCAAAGAACAGUUUCAGGCGGGCAGUUUGGCUGGGGCGGUCGCCUCCUAAACGGUAACGGAGGCGUACAAAGGUUUCCUCUGAACGGUUAGAAAUCGUAUCUAGAGUGUAAAGGCAUAAGGAAGCUUGACUGUGAGACCUACAAGUCGAGCAGGGACGAAAGUCGGUCUUAGUGAUCUGACGGUACUGAGUGGAAAGGCCGUCACUCAACGGAUAAAAGUUACUCUAGGAUAACAGGCUGAUCUCCCCCAAGAGUUCACAUCGACGGGGAGGUUUGGCACCUCGAUGUCGGCUCAUCGCAUCCUGGGGCGGUAGUACGUCCCAAGGGUUGGGCUGUUCGCCCAUGAAAGCGGUACGCGAGCUGGGUUCAGAACGUCGUGAGACAGUUCGGUCCAUAUCCGGUGUAGGCGUUAGAAUAUUGAGAGGAGCCUUCUUUAGUACGAGAGGACCGAGAAGGACAUACCUCUGGUGUACCAGUUAUCGUGCCAACGGUAAACGCUGGGUAGCUAUGUAUGGAGUGGAUAACCGCUGAAAGCAUCUAAGUGGGAAGCCCACCUCAAGAUAAGUAUUCUCA
rnacentral:rRNA from 1 species